rnacentral:rRNA from 1 species
CAGCAGCCGCGGGAAUACGUAGGUGGCAAGCGUUGUCCGGAAUUAUUGGGCGUAAAGGGCUCGCAGGCGGUUUCUUAAGUCUGAUGUGAAAGCCCCCGGCUCAACCGGGGAGGGUCAUUGGAAACUGGGAAACUUGAGUGCAGAAGAGGAGAGUGGAAUUCCACGUGUAGCGGUGAAAUGCGUAGAGAUGUGGAGGAACACCAGUGGCGAAGGCGACUCUCUGGUCUGUAACUAACGCUGAGGAGCGAAAGCGUGGGGAGCGAACAGGAUUAGAUACCCGUGUAGUCCCUGUCUCUUAUAC